AAAAAGACAAACCUUGGUUUCCGUAUCCAACGUUUGACUAUCCGUCUUAUUUAAAAAAAAUUAAAAAGAUAAGUCACACAUAAAAUAUUAAUCAUGUUUUAUCAUCUAACAGCAAUGAAAAUACUAAUUAUAAAAAAAAUUCAUAUAAGACGGACAGUCAAACGUUGGCACGGAAACCCAGGGUUUGCUUUUUU
rnacentral:pre_miRNA from 1 species